UCCAGUUUUCAUUUUAGUUUUGCCCCUGUACUCUAUUACCUACUCAAUUUAGGAUGUACCUAAUAUGAGAUUAGCAGACUAAAGGUGAAAUGUCAAAGGAGUCAUAUGUAAAUCCAUACAUCAGCCACAAGGACAAUAUUUAAAUCAUAUCCAUCUCCUUCACAUGAAAGGCCUUCCAUGUAAGUCAAAUUACUUUUUUUUUAUUCAAUUUAGUUUGUAUUUAACAUAAGAUAAACAAUCUAAUGGUGAACUUAUAAAUCAUACCCAUACAUAUGCCCCUAUGACAAUAUUUAAAUCAUACACAUCUCCAUCAAAACAAAAGCAUUUCAUGUUUGUCAAAG
rnacentral:misc_RNA from 1 species